rnacentral:tRNA from 1 species
GUCAGGAUGCUCAGUUGGUAGAGCAGAGGACUGAAAAUC